rnacentral:rRNA from 1 species
GACGAACGCUGGCGGCGUGCCUAAUACAUGCAAGUAGGACGCCGUUGCGAACGGGUGAGUAAAGCGUAGGUAACUACCUAUUAGAGGGGGAUAACUAUUGGAAACGAUAGCUAAUACCGCAUACUAGUAGAUGGACCUGCGUUGUAUUAGAUAGUAGGUUGGGUAAUGGCCUACCUAGGCAACGAUACAUAACCGAACUGAGAGGGUGAUCAGCCACACUGGGACUGCAGAACGGGCCAGAAUCCUACGGGAAGCAGCAGUAGGGAAACUUCGGAAAUGGGGGGAACCCUGACCGAGCAACGGCUCGGGAGUGAAAAAGGGUUUCGGAUCGUAAAGCUCUGUUGUUAAGGAAGCGGUACUUAACGAGAAAGUGACGGCUAACUACGUGCCAGCAGCCGCGGUAAUUC